UACGGGGGGGGCAAGCGUUGUUCGGAAUUACUGGGCGUAAAGGGCUCGUAGGCGGCCAACUAAGUCGGAUGUGAAAUCCCCAGGCUCAACUUGGGAACUGCAUCCGAUACUGGAUGGCUUGAAUUCGGGAGAGGGAUGCAGAAUUCCAGGUGUAGCGGUGAAAUGCGUAGAUAUCAGGAGGAACACCGGUGGUGUAGACGGCUUUCUGGACCGACACUGACGCUGAGACACGAAAGCGUGGGUAGCAAACAGG
rnacentral:rRNA from 1 species